rnacentral:tRNA from 1 species
GGUAGGGUGGCCGAAUAAGCAUUAGACUGUAAAUCUAAAGAUAGAGGUGGAAAUCCUCUUCUUACCA